CCUACGGGUGGCAGCAGUGAGGAAUAUUGGUCAAUGGACGAGAGUCUGAACCAGCCAAGUAGCGUGAAGGAUGACUGCCCUAUGGGUUGUAAACUUCUUUUAUAUGGGAAUAAAAUGUUCCACGUGUGGUCUUUUGUAUGUACCAUAUGAAUAAGUAUCGGCUAACUCCGUGCCAGCAGCCGCGGUAAUACGGAGGAUCCGAGCGUUAUCCGGAUUUAUUGGGUUUAAAGGGAGCGUAGGUGGAUUGUUAAGUCAGUUGUGAAAGUUUGCGGCUCAACCGGAAAAUUGCAGUUGAAACUGGCAGUCUGGAAGACAGUAGAGGUGGGCGGAAUUCGUGGUGUAGCGGUGAAAUGCUUAGAUAUCACGAAGAACUCCGAUUGCGAAGGCAGUUCACUGGACUGUAACUGACGUUGAGGCUCGAAAGCGUGGGGAGCAAACAGGAUUAGAUACCCGAGUAGUC
rnacentral:rRNA from 1 species